rnacentral:rRNA from 1 species
GACGAACGCUGGCGGCGUGCUUAACACAUGCAAGUCGAGCGGAAAGGCCACUUCGGUGGUACUCGAGCGGCGAACGGGUGAGUAACACGUGAGUAAUCUGCCCCUCACUCAGGGAUAACCAUUGGAAACGGUGGCUAAUACCUGAUAUGACCACGUCUCGCAUGGGGUGUGGUGGAAAGCGUUUAGUGGUGAGGGAUGUGCUCGCGGCCUAUCAGCUUGUUGGUGAGGUAGUGGCUCACCAAGGUUUCGACGGGUAGCCGGCCUGAGAGGGUGACCGGCCACACUGGGACGGAGACACGGCCCAGACUCCUACGGGAGGCAGCAGUGGGGAAUAUUGGACAAUGGGCGAAAGCCUGAUCCAGCAACGCCGCGUGAGGGAUGACGGCCUUCGGGUUGUAAACCUCUUUCACCCAUGACGAAGCGCAAGUGACGGUAGUGGGAGAAGAAGGACCGGCCAACUACGUGCCAGCCGCCGCCGUAACAC